GUGCCAGCAGCCGCGGUAAGACAGAGGGUGCAAACGUUGUUCGGAAUUACUGGGCAUAAAGAGCACGUAGGUGGUGCGCUAAGUCACGUGUGAAAUCCCCCGGCUCAACCGGGGAAUUGCGCGUGAUACUGGCGGACUCGAGGCGGGUAGGGGUGAGCGGAACUCCAGGUGGAGCGGUGAAAUGCGUAGAUAUCUGGAGGAACACCGGUGGCGAAAGCGGCUCACUGGACCUGAUCUGACACUGAGGUGCGAAAGCUAGGGUAGCAAACGGGAUUAGAUACCCCGGUAGUCC
rnacentral:rRNA from 1 species